UGCCAGCAGCCGCGGUAAUACGUAGGGCGCAAGCGUUGUCCGGAAUUAUUGGGCGUAAAGAGCUCGUAGGCGGUUUGUCGCGUCUGUCGUGAAAACCCACAGCUUAACUGUGGGCUUGCGGUGGGUACGGGCAGGCUUGAGUGCGGUAGGGGAGACUGGAAUUCCUGGUGUAGCGGUGGAAUGCGCAGAUAUCAGGAGGAACACCGGUGGCGAAGGCGGGUCUCUGGGCCGUUACUGACGCUGAGGAGCGAAAGCAUGGGGAGCGAACAGGAUUAGAUACCCUGGUAGUCCAUGCCGUAAACGUUGGGCACUAGGUGUGGGGGCUGUUUCCAUGGUUCCUGCGCCGUAGCUAACGCAUUAAGUGCCCCGCCUGGGGAGUACGGUCGCAAGGCUAAAACUCAAAGGAAUUGACGGGGGCCCGCACAAGCGGCGGAGCAUGCGGAUUAAUUCGAUGCAACGCGAAGAACCUUACCAAGGCUUGACAUACAUCCAGAGUCUGCAGAGAUGUGGGCGCAUUUAGUUGGGGGUGUACAGGUGGUGCAUGGUUGUCGUCAGCUCGUGUCGUGAGAUGUUGGAGUUAAGUCCCGCAACGAGCGCAACCCUUGUCUCAUGUUGCCAGCACGUUAUGGUGGGGACUCGUGARAGACUGCCGGGGUUAACUCGGAGGAAGGUGGGGAUGACGUCAAAUCAUCAUGCCCCUUAUGUCUUGGGCUUCACGCAUGCUACAAUGGCCAGUACAGAGGGUUGCGAUAUCGUGAGGUUGAGCGAAUCCCUUAAAGCUGGUCUCAGUUCGGAUUGGGGUCUGCAACUCGACCCCAUGAAGUCGGAGUCG
rnacentral:rRNA from 1 species